UACGAAGGUCCCAAGCGUUGUUCGGAAUUACUGGGCGUAAAGGGCGCGUAGGCGGCCUUCUAAGUCAGACGUGAAAUCCCCCGGCUUAACCUGGGAACUGCGUCUGAUACUGGGAGGCUUGAGUAUGGGAGAGGGAUGUAGAAUUCCAGGUGUAGCGGUGAAAUGCGUAGAUAUCUGGAGGAAUACCGGUGGCGAAGGCGGCAUCCUGGACCAUUACUGACGCUGAGGCGCGAAAGCUAGGGGAGCAAACGGG
rnacentral:rRNA from 1 species